CCCUGCCUUUUGUACACACCGCCCGUCGCUCCUACCGAUUUUGAGUGAUCCGGUGAACCUUCUGGACCGCGUCCUGGUCCAACCAGGAUGUGGGAAGUUAAGUAAACCUUAUCACUUAGAGGAAGGAG
rnacentral:rRNA from 1 species